CGGGGGGAGCAAGCGUUGUUCGGAUUUACUGGGCGUAAAGGGCGCGUAGGCGGCCUCUGCAAGUCGACUGUGAAAUCUCCGGGCUUAACCCGGAAAGGUCAGCCGAUACUGCAGGGCUAGAGUGCAGAAGGGGCAACUGGAAUUCUCGGUGUAGCGGUGAAAAGCGUAGAUAUCGAGAGGAACACCUGCGGCGAAGGCGGGUUGCUGGGCUGACACUGACGCUGAAGUGCGAAAGCUAGGGGAGCGAACGGGAUUAGAUACCCCGGUAGUCCUAGCCUUAAACGAUGAAUGCUUGGUGUCUGGGGUUUUAUAGUCCCCGGGUGCCGUCGCUAACGCUUUAAGCAUUCCGCCUGGGGAGUACGGUCGCAAGACUG
rnacentral:rRNA from 1 species